CCAAUAGCGUAUAUUAAAGUUGUUGCAGUUAAAAAGCUCGUAGUUGAAUUUCGGGAUCAAAUUGUUGGUCGUGCUUCGGUACGCACUGGCAUUAUUGGUUUCUCCCUUCUGACGAACCAUGAUGUCAUUUAUUUGGUGUCGUGGGGAAUCAGGACUGUUACUUUGAAAAAAUUAGAGUGUUUAAAGCAGGCUCACGCUUGAAUACAUUAGCAUGGAAUAAUGAAAUAGGACGUUUGAUUCUAUUUUGUUGGUUUCUAGGAUCGACGUAAUGAUUAAUAGGGAUAGUUGGGGGCAUUAGUAUUCAAUUGUCAGAGGUGAAAUUCUUGGAUUUAUUGAAGACUAACUACUGCGAAAGCAUUUGCCAAGGAUGUUUUCAUUAAUCAAGAACGAAAGUUAGGGGAUCGAAGACGAUCAGAUACCGUCGUAGUCUUAACCAUAAACUAUGCCGACUAGGGAUCGGAUGAUGUUAAUUUUUUAAUGACUCAUUCGGCGCCUUACG
rnacentral:rRNA from 1 species